UACAGAGGUCUCAAGCGUUGUUCGGAUUCAUUGGGCGUAAAGGGCGCGUAGGCGGCGGGGUAAGUCGGGUGUGAAAUCUCAGAGCUCAACUCUGAAACUGCACUCGAUACUGCUCUGCUUGAGGACUGGAGAGGAGACUGGAAUUCACGGUGUAGCAGUGAAAUGCGUAGAUAUCGUAAGGAAGACCAGUGGCGAAGGCGGGUCUCUGGACAGUUCCUGACGCUGAGGCACGAAGGCCAGGGGAGCAAACGGG
rnacentral:rRNA from 1 species